CUGGCCCCGGAAACAAGAUGAGUCCAGUCCAGCGGACUUUGUGAGACACACCUGGCCCACCUGUGGACCUGGCCAGCCAGAGGCAGACUCUACCCCAAGACCCAGCUCCGCCCUCCUCCCCGCCCCCUCCCCUCUGAGCUGGCGUCCACUCCAGUUCUGGGACACAUUUCCAACUUAAUUCAGAAGAAAGAAAGAAAGAAAACCACAAGCAACCCCCGGCCCACUCGGAGACCCUCAGACUCCUGGAAGGUCGAGUCUGCUACGAGGCUCGGAAGGCCCCGGUCGCCCCCUCUGCUGGGUAGCCCUGAGGCAGCCCACCUGGACUGUGUGUCCGUCUUACCUUCCUGCCACGAGCAGCUGCUGCACAGGAGAUUUGGACACGCAGCCGCCGAGCGUUUCCUUUGCUGCUCUGGUUCUCAGAGAGAAGGACAGCCUGGGACCCCAGCCAGCCCAGGUGGGUUGGCUGAGCAGGGCGGUCCAACUCCAGGC
rnacentral:lncRNA from 1 species